AAUAUUACAGGGAUGUAAAAUAAUCUCACUGUAGAAUCCUCCUUAUUCAUUAUCCCACCUCUCUUCAUCAGUACAUUUUAGACUGAAGAUAAUCAGGAAGAAAAAGUCCACAUGAUCAAAGCUGAACAGGAACUCCACCCUACAGUAAACCCAGUCUGGACAGAAACCACAUGAACUAAACACAAAGCAGCUGAACUAAGAACUGGAUAAUAU